rnacentral:rRNA from 1 species
GACAGAGGGUGCGAACGUUGUUCGGAAUUACUGGGCGUAAAGCGCGUGUAGGCGGCAGCGCAAGUCGGGCGUGAAAUCCCACGGCUCAACCGUGGAAGUGCACUCGAAACUGCGCAGCUAGAGUCCUGGAGAGGAAGGUGGAAUGCUUGGGUGUAGAGGUGAAAUUCGUGAGAUAUCAAGCGGAACACCGGUGGCGAAGGCGGGUUCU